rnacentral:lncRNA from 9 species
GGACUUUGAGGGCUUAGCUCAGGGAUUCUGGAGCAUGCCUAUACUGAGAGAGGCCCUCACUCACUAUAAAGUUUCCUCCGUAGGACAGGACAGACCUGGGUCCCAGGGACACGAUGGGACUCCAAUCACCUUCUUUAGUCCCAGGGCCUAUGCUGUGAUAUUGCCAAAGUGAGGGCCGGGCGGGGGUCAUAUAUUAGAAAACUAAGGAUGUAUGGACAGCGGAAAUGAGACAGUGUAGAAAGAAAAGACGCAAAUGAGGAGAGAAGAGACAGUCGCCUCUGCUUUGCUGAGAAGUUUUCCAAAGUGUCAUUCUCCAUUCUCGCCACAAAGAAACACGACAGAGCACGUACGAUUACGACAGAUCCAUGAGGCAGAUCCUACAGUUAUAUCAAAACACAAGGGCAUAAGUUAGCAGUUCUAAUUGGGACGGAAGAUUCUUUAACACCAGACUGCACUUUGAAAACCACCGUGUACAAUAAUUUCUCAAAAGUAACCAAGAAGAGGCUUGGAGACAGAAUGGAAGGCAAUGCCAUGAAAGGACUCUGAUAAGAACGGAUCUUAAGGACAGUGAGAUCUUGCUU